rnacentral:tRNA from 1 species
GGGCGCGUAGCUCAGCGGUAGAGCGGCAGACUUUUAAUCUGUAGGUCCCGGGUUCGACCCCCGGCGCGCUCACCA